rnacentral:rRNA from 1 species
GAUGAACGCUGGCGGCGUGCCUAAUACAUGCAAGUCGAGCGAACGGACGAGAAGCUUGCUUCUCUGAUGUUAGCGGCGGACGGGUGAGUAACAUGUGGUUAACCUACCUAUAGGACUGGGAUAACUUCGGGAAACCGGAGCUAAUACCGGAUAAUAUUUUGAACCGCAUGGUUCAAAGGUGAAAGACGGUCUUGCUGUCACUUAUAGAUGUAUCCGCGCUGCAUUAGCUAGUUGGUAAGGUAACGGCUUACCAAGGCAACGAUGCAUAGCCGACCUGAGAGGGUGAUCGGCCACACUGGAACUGAGACACGGUCCAGACUCCUACGGGCGGCAGCAGUAGGGAAGCUUCCGCGAUGGGCGGAAGCCUGACGGAGCAACGCCGCGUGAGUGAUGAAGGUCUUCGGAUCGUAAAACUCUGUUAUUAGGGAAGAACAUAUGUGUAAGUAACUGUGCACAUCUUGACGGUACCUAAUCAGAAAGCCACGGCUAACUACGUG